rnacentral:rRNA from 1 species
CCUACGGGAGGCAGCAGUGAGGAAUAUUGGUCAAUGGACGAGAGUCUGAACCAGCCAAGUAGCGUGAAGGAUGACUGCCCUAUGGGUUGUAAACUUCUUUUAUAUGGGAAUAAAACGUUCCACGUGUGGGAUUUUGUAUGUACCAUAUGAAUAAGGAUCGGCUAACUCCGUGCCAGCAGCCGCGGUAAUACGGAGGAUCCGAGCGUUAUCCGGAUUUAUUGGGUUUAAAGGGAGCGUAGGUGGAUUGUUAAGUCAGUUGUGAAAGUUUGCGGCUCAACCGUAAAAUUGCAAUUGAAACUGGCAGUCUUGAGUACAGUAGAGGUGGGCGGAAUUCGUGGUGUAGCGGUGAAAUGCUUAGAUAUCACGAAGAACUCCGAUUGCGAAGGCAGUUCACUGGACUGCAACUGACACUGAGGCUCGAAAGUGUGGGUAUCAAACAGGAUUAGAUACCCCAGUAGUC